rnacentral:rRNA from 1 species
GACGAACGCUGGCGGCGUGCUUAACACAUGCAAGUCGAACGGAAAGGCCCUGCUUUUGUGGGGUGCUCGAGUGGCGAACGGGUGAGUAACACGUGAGUAACCUGCCCUUGACUUUGGGAUAACUUCAGGAAACUGGGGCUAAUACCGGAUAGGAGCUCCUGCUGCAUGGUGGGGGUUGGAAAGUUUCGGCGGUUGGGGAUGGACUCGCGGCUUAUCAGCUUGUUGGUGGGGUGGUGGCUUACCAAGGCUUUGACGGGUAGCCGGCCUGAGAGGGUGACCGGCCACAUUGGGACUGAGAUACGGCCCAGACUCCUACGGGAGGCAGCAGUGGGGAGUAUUGCACAAUGGGCGGAAGCCUGAUGCAGCAACGCCGCGUGCGGGAUGACGGCCUUCGGGUUGUAAACCGCUUUCGCCUGUGACGAAGCGUGAGUGACGGUAAUGGGUAAAGAAGCACCGGCUAACUACGUG